AGCGUAGACGGCUGUGUAAGUCUGAAGUGAAAGCCCGGGGCUCAACCCCGGGACUGCUUUGGAAACUAUGCAGCUAGAGUGUCGGAGAGGUAAGUGGAAUUCCCAGUGUAGCGGUGGAAUGUGUAGAUAUCGGGAAGAACACCAAUGGCGAAGGCAGGUCUCUGGGCCGUUACUGACGCUGAGGAGCGAAAGCGUGGGAGCGAACA
rnacentral:rRNA from 1 species